rnacentral:rRNA from 1 species
UACGUAGGGUGCGAGCGUUGCCCGGAUUUAUUGGGCGUAAAGGGCGCGUAGGCGGCUCGGCACGUCCGUUGUGAAAUCGCCCGGCUCAACUGGGCGGGGUCGGCGGAUACGGCCGAGCUGGAGCAAACUAGGGGGUAAUGGAAUUCCCGGUGUAGUGGUGGAAUGCGUAGAUAUCGGGAGGAACACCAGUGGCGAAGGCGGUUACCUGGAGCUUUGCUGACGCUGAUGCGCGAAAGCGUGGGGAGCGAUCCGG